AUAUAUUUGAUAGAAUCACGAAGCAGCCUUCAAACUAAUUAAAUGUAUUAAUGCAAUUGGUGAUCGGUUUUGAAAUCACUGUGUCAGCAAAGUGCUUGCUUUGCAUACAGUGCUUGCCAUGUCACACACUAGAGCCAAGAACAUUCAAGUCAAGAAACUGAUACAUAUUUAUGCUGAAAAUAUAUUAUAGAAAGAUACUUCACACAUAACUAGGUUGAUCUUAUAAUGUAUUUUUAGAACUUUAAAGGUCAUGUUUAUUUUUUAGUGUUUGGGGUAAAUAAGAGAGGACCCCGUGGCAUCCAUGGUUUGUUAUCCAUGUAAAGUCCAUGACUAUUUUUUGCAAAUAACAAAGACUUGGUAAACCACUGACAAGUCUUGCCAGUGAAGGUAGACAAAAAUGCUGGAGAAACUCAGCGGGUAAGGUAGCAUCUAUGGAGUGAAGGAAAUGGGCAACGUUUCGGGUCGAGACCAUUCUUCAGACAGUGAUGUUCAAUGUGAAAAUGAAUGCAAAAACAUUUAUAGAAUUGAAAACUGGUGUAUUUUAAACCUCUUAUUCAAAAAUGUGAUUUUAUUCUUGGAUAGAAGCUGGUUUUCAUAUACGAUGGGAGAUUGUAAUCCAGUAUCUUAUUUUAAAAAUGUUGCUUUUGGGGAAUUCUUCAGUAGGGUUUUUUUUGUUGUUCCAAGCAACCAUGAUGGAAUCAAGAAAAUAUAACUGGAGAACUUUUUUUUAAAGGAAUUUGUUUUUUAUAAACAAGAGGCAUGGGUUAUACAAAUGGGCAAUUACCUAUCCAGACAGCCGGACAAACAUGACAAUUACUUAUCCCAUCAUAGAUGUUAAGUAAUUAACUGAAUCGUCAAUUCAACAAACUAUGCAGGAAUUGAUAAAGGUGUGAAGCAUCAGGUUCACAAAUAUCUUUCAGGAGGGAAAUUUGAUCUUAGCCUAAUCUGACCUCUGACACCAGUGCCAUGGUAAUGUAGCUGAUUCCGAAUUUCUCUUGUAUUUCCUGAUAACUCAUUAAAUUUCCUGACAAGCCACAAGAAAUAACAGCUAUGUUAAAACAAAGAAAUAAAUCCAAACUCAAUGCCCUGCAUUGAUUAGUGCAGCAAAGAUACAUGUGGCAAGUCACACCCAGUCCAGUUUUCAAGAAAAAACAUGUUUUUUUUUUUAAACUAUGUGCAGGUAGGUUGUGGCUGUGUGCAUUAGUUGCUUUGUGAUUUGGAGUUGAAUUAUGGUACGGUUUAAAAGCAUUUAUCAAUGUUAAUAGUUCAAAUAUUAUUGUAACUAAACUCUUUGAAAAUAAUAAUUAAUUGGUAGCUGAGACCAGUUUAUAAACCUGUACCAUAUUAUAGUGCUGGGGAGCUUCAUAUAUAUGAAAUAUGUCCGGUUACUUGAGCUCAAACUUGGGAAUCGAUACACAAACUUAUAAAGGUAAGCAGCAAAGUAAAUAAAUACAAUCCUUACUGGUAAUUACAUAAUUCAAAGGACAGACUGUUCCAUUUGCUGUCAUCUUGAAUCCUGCAUUGCCUCUGGUGCCUUUCAUUUCACUGCACAUCUCAUAUGUGUAUGUGACAAAUAAACUUGACUUGACAUGACAGGAUCAAAGAUAAUGCCGUGAAACCGAACAUUAUAGAGAAGAAGGUGGAAGUGUGAAUAGCUAGUGGAUUUGGUUCACACUAGUUCCAAUGACAUGUGGAAGUCCACAGUAAAUCCUAAAGAUUUGGUAGAUAAAGUGAAACGGUGACCUGAUUGCUCUUGGUUGCACAUAUCAAUGAGCACAUAUUAAAACAUUUAGUGCAGGCAGUGUGGAUGGAAAAUUGUGCAGGAGAAAAGGUUUUAGAUAUUGGAUUGGAUCUGGCACAGGUCAAGCACAUUGCAUAUGAGAACCAGCAUUGUUAUGAGCAAAAUUUUGGGUGAAGGGUUUAAAUUUGCUUGGUUGGGAGAUAAGAAGCUGAGCAUUGAUUGCAGAUGGGAUGAAAUGGAACUGAAAAGCAGAACAUUGGUGAGAAUUUGCAAUGCAGAGAAACUAACAAUUUGGGCGGUCUUUCAUUCUGCAAGUUGCGAGAGCGAAGAGCAUCAAACACCUGGAGUUGUGUUGCUUACAGCUGCUUCUGAAACUAAAAAGAGCAGGAUUGGCUGUUUAACUGAUUACAGGGUUUCCAGGAGGAGGUGUUUGGAUGUAUGGAGAUUAUGAAAAGGGAACAGUGACAACUCCGUUUUCCAAAACUGUCAAAAUACGAUUUUUUUCUAACGAUAUGCACAGGUAGGUGACUAGUGGUGCAAAUUUGUUGUUUUAUGAUUUGGAGCUAAAUUAUGGUACGGUCUAAGGCAUCUAUCAAGGUUAAUAGUUCAAAUACUAUUGUAAUGGCAAGUGUGAUUUUGAACAGAACUUAAGAACAUUCAGAUACAAGGAACUGCAGAUGCUGGAAUCUCGAGCAAAACACAAUGUUGGAGGAACACAGCAGGUCAGGCAAUAUCUGUGGCGGGAAAGAGGCAGUCUUGUUAUUGAAGAUAUGUAGCACACAAUUCUUAUGAGGGAGUUGUUUUCAGGUUUAUGAACAUAAUUUGUUUUCAGGUUUAAGAACACAACACUCGUGAUUUCAUUGUCCCAUUAUAAACCAGAAUAUAAUUAAUAUAUUAAAAAUAUAUAUAUAUCAAAAAACCUGAAAAUUGCAAUCAGUACAUUUAAAAAAAAUAAGAAUAUAAGGACAGAAGUAAGGGACACCCAGGGUUUCAUUAUGGGAAAUUAGGCUGGAAAGAUCAGAGUAUUCAUAGGAGAGUUUUAUUAGUUGAUCAUAGUGAAAGAUAAAAUAAAGAGUAGAGGUUCCAACUUGAAUUUUGGCAAAUCUUACCAAGUGGUGAUUCACAAAACAAUUUGGUGUCAUUGUGGUGGAAGGCCAUUAAGCAGAUUUAAGGGAUUCGGGAAGAUAUUUUUCCACAAAGUGAGUUGGUCUGUGAAACCAAGAGGUCACUUUUCAUAGAGCAUAAAAUUAACUCCAAUAAGAUCCCUAUUUUAUCUGAGAGUGAAGAAGGAUAUAAAAUAAUCAUGGUAAAAGGGAAGUUGGGGGAAGGGAAGGUUGGGGGAAGGUAAGAAAACAAGUAUGGGAGAAAAUACUAGCAAAUGAAAUACAAAAGAAUCCAAUGGGGACGGGUGUGGGAUAGGAUUAGGUUCUUGAUGAAGUAUUGAUGAAGGCAGUUGCCUUCACAAUAUUGCUAACUGGUUGAUGGGGAGGGAGGAGGGAUUCAGAAUUAAGUGGCUCUUACAGCAUAGGUGUUUUAAAGUAAUAGAAGCAAGUUGAGAAAACAAAAGUUCUCUGGAUUAAAAUUUAUCAAAAUCAAAAUACCAUGAGAGACAAAUUAAUAUAAAUUUAUGCUCGGAGGGUCAUCAGCUUAAUGGCAAUUUGGAUUUUUUUUAUUUAUUUGACUUGACAGGAAGCAUUGUGUAAAUGUUUUUUCCCCAGGUUGGAGAACUACAAUUAGAUAUGCCAGAAGAGUACAGUGAUUAAGAUGAGCAUUUUAUAUUUUGAUGAUCUGAAUAAUGAAUGAAAAAUUAGGUGAUAACAAACUUCGAACAGAUAUUUCUUGUGGGUCGUUGCAAUAAGACACUAAAAGAUCACUAAUAGCUGAAAAUCCAGGAACAAAAUGGUGGGAGGAACUUGACAAUCAUAAAAUGAUGGGGUAAUACUGAUGACCAGUGGAAAGAAUCUGAGAUGAAGAAAAAAGACAAGGAAGCAGUGCACAAAAUUGGCAGGUAAAGAUGAAGUAUAAACCGAAGACUGGUUAGAGAAAAUAACAACAAAGUAAAGAGGGUCGUAAGAUUAGAGGUUAAGAUAUCGCAAUGUUAAAAGCAAAUAUACAUGUGCUAUUUGAAUAGCUAGUUAGCUAGCACACUCUGGAUCCCAUGCUUUCAGUCCUUCCAGAACUGCCUACCAUGUGGAACUUUAUCAAAAGCCUUGCUGAAGCCGAUAUGGUCCUGCUCUUGUCAACCCUUUUUACUUUAAAAAAACUUGAAUCAGAUUUGUGAGACGUGAUCUCCCAUGAGCAGAGUAAUGCUGAUCAUUAAACCCUGUCUAUCUUAAAUGCAUGUAAGUCUUAACAUUCAGAAUCCUCUCCAGUAACUUUCCUACCACAGAUGUUCGGCCAACUUAAAUAGUGACGCAUUAGCAACGGGAGUACGAAGGAAUUUUACUGGAUUGGUUUCUGGGAUGAGGUAUUUCAGAUGCAAGGUUAGUCAGGAGUUGGGAUUAUUCCCCUUUGACCAAGAGAUUGACAGGAUAUUUGAUUGAGGACGACAUGGAAACAUGGCCACAAAAGUAGUUGAGUGAAAGCAAUUUUUAGUUCUAUCCUACACACUAGAAACAAUUAACACAAGCCAAGUAACCUACAAACCUGCACGUCUUUGGAAUAUGGGAGUAAACUGGAGCACCUGGUGAAAACAUGUGGUCAUGGAGAGAACAUACAAACUAGUCAGGAUGGACCCCUCCUGGUAUCUGGCGCUGUAUGGCAGCAACUCUACGACUGUGCCGCCUCUUCUAGUCUGCACUGGAUGCUUCCUUCAUCUUUCACAUUGAUGUGAGGUUACUUAAACUGAAAAUUUAGACACCAGCAACUGCAGAUGCUGGAAUCUUGCAAAGAAAACAAGGUGUUGGAAUAACUCAGUGGGUUAGGUGGCAUCGCUGGAGGACACAGUUGACAUUUCGGAUGGGAUCCUUCAGAAUUUGAAGCAGAGUUCCAGACCUGAAAAUUCACAUGUUCUCUAGAGCUAUUCCAUGUCCUGCUGAGUUACUCCAGCACUUUGUGUCUUAAGGUGAAGAUUUCUGGUUUGAUCUAAUCCCAUAACACAUUUGAUGUCUUGGUAAAGAGCCUGUCUGUCUGCAAAGCUGACAUUUUAAUUUCAAAAUUGAUUACUGCUGCCAAAGUACAUUUGAAUAAAUAUUCUGAAGACCGGUUUUUGAUUGAAUGGUUACUACCACGUAAUUGUAUAAUCCCUAAUUAAUCCCCAACAGUGCUUUUGCAAUUGUUUACAUGGGAACCAACAGGAAUAAACCCCAAUGAUUUCUUAUCAACCUGUCGCAGAUUAAUUUGUUUGGGAAAGCAUUGGUACGGAUGACCGCGUCAGAGUCAAUGGGGAGAUUAAGUUUUGUAUCCAAAUCAACGAUACCCUCCAUUGAGUUGUGUGCCACUUACCAUUGUACAAAAAAGGGAUAAACUCAGAACAGAUUUGGCAGUAUAAAGCAGGGCAUUCACGAAAGGCUUUGGGCCAUGGCAGCAGCUGACCAGAAAUCUACCACAGUCUGAGACCUUGCACCAACAAUCCCUCAUUCUAUAACACAGCCAACAGAUCAACCCUGGUUCAAAGCAUAGAAAAGAAUGCUGUUAAAUGUAUCAUCUGUACCUGAAGAUGUACUGUCCAGAUAAAUCUGCAGCAGGUUAAUGUAAUUAACAACAUAAAGUUAAGCAAUUUCACCACAUGGCAAACCCUUAUCUCGUUAAAUCGAAGAGGAAUGAGGUUGGCACAAACUAAGUGGAGGAGGCAGCUCCCAGGUUGGCUAGCUUGGUAAUGAGGAUGGGGUUAGUGUGUGCUUACCAAGUUAUUGAUCCUUUCAGGUUUCAUUUUGGUACAGGUAUUAUCUGAUGGCAUUUGAAUAGCUUUAUCAGAUGGUUAAAACUAGCUGACAAAUUAUUGAAUUCCAAUGUGCCAUAGUAAUUUCCCAGUAUUUAGCUUUAUGAAAUUUAGGAAAUCCCCCUCUAUGUUCUUUAUGCUGUUAAUUAUGUUAACCUGCUGCAGAUUUAGCUGGUCAGAGUUAUACAGUGUGGAAACAGGCCCAACUUGCCCACACUGGCCAACAUGUCCCAGCUACAUUUGUCA